CCUACGGGUGGCAGCAGUGAGGAAUAUUGGUCAAUGGGCGGGAGCCUGAACCAGCCAAGUCGCGUGGGUGAAGGAGCGUUUCGGCGCGUAAAGCCCUGUCAGCGGGGAAGAAGAAAGACGGUACCCGACCAAGAAGCCCCGGCUAACUACGUGCCAGCAGCCGCGGUAAUACGUAGGGGGCGAGCGUUAUCCGGAAUUACUGGGUGUAAAGGGAGCGUAGACGGCGAGGUAAGCCUGAAGUGGAAGCCCGCGGCCCAACCGCGGAACUGCUUUGGGAACUGUUUUGCUGGAGUAUGGGAGGGGUAAGCGGAAUUCCUGGUGUAGCGGUGAAAUGCGUAGAUAUCAGGAGGAACACCGGUGGCGAAGGCGGCUUACUGGACCAUAACUGACGUUGAGGCUCGAAAGCGUGGGGAGCGAACAGGAUUAGAUACCCGGGUAGUC
rnacentral:rRNA from 1 species